rnacentral:rRNA from 1 species
AGUCGUAAAGCUCUGUCAAGUGGAAAGAAAUUUGUCUAUCAAUAAUACUGAUAGGCAUUGACGGUACCACUAAAGGAAGCACCGGCUAACUCCGUGCCAACAGCCGGGGUAAUACGGGGGGUGCUAGCGUUAAUCGGAAUUAUAGGGCGUUAAAGGGCGCGCAGGUAGGCCAAUGUAAGUCAGAUGUGAAAGCCCGGGGUUCAACCCCGGGAAGUACAUUUGAAAGUAUAUGGGUUGGCGUAUGGGAGAGGGCAAUUGGAAUUCCUAGGUGUUACAGGUGAACUGCGUAGAUAUUCAAGGGAGGAACAACCGUUGGGGGAAGGUAAACUUCCUGGAUCCACUACUGAGGCUGAAGCGCGCAAAAUGUGUGGAACAAACAGGAUUAGAUACCCCUGGUAGUCAACCCAUAAACGUUGAUCACUAGCCAUAGCGGGUCUUUACGCCUGCUGCGCAGAAGCUAACGCAUUAAGUGAUCCGCCUGGGGAGUACGAUCGCAAAGGCUAAAGACUCAAAGGAAGUGACGGGCGGCCCGCACAAGCGGUGGAGCAGCGCGAAUAAUUCGACGCAACGCGAAGAACCUUACCUGCGAGUUGACAUCUCGGGAACUCGUAUCGAAAAUACGGAAGUGCCCUUCGGGGAGCCCAGAUGACAGGACGCUGCAUGGCAGUCGUCAGCUCGUGUCGUGAGAUGUUGGGUUAAGUCCCGCAACGAGCGCAACCCCUUUCUUUAGUGGCCAGCAUUUGGUUGGGGACUCUAAAGAGACUGCCACGGUUAACGGGGAGGAAGGUGGGGAUGACGUCAAGUCCUCAUGGCCCUUAUGUCCAGGGCUACACACGUGCUACAAUGGGCUGUACAAAGGGCAGCGAACUCGCGAGUGUAAGUCAAUCCCAAAAAGCAGUCCUCAGUUCGGAUUGGAGUCUGCAACUCGACUCCAUGAAGUUGGAAUCGCUAGUAAUCGUGGAUCAGCAUGCCACGGUGUAUACGUUCCCGGGCCUUGUACACACCGCCCGUCACACCAUGAGA